GGACGAACAACAACAAGAACUAAAAACAAGAAGAAUCCUCUUCAAUGGCUUCAGCAGCAGCGACGCCGUCGCCUUGCCAUGUUUCCUCUCCAGUAAUCUCUCGUUCUCUCUCUCGCCUCUCUCCCUUCCACCUCUCCCUCUCAUCCGUCGUCCAUCCACCUUGCCGUGGAAAUAGAAGGCAUAGCGGCAGCAGUGUUUCUUCUACCGUCCGGUGCGCGGCCGUUGGAGCGGCCAAAGAAGCGGAAACGAAAAGGAAAGGCACGUUUCAGAUCGAGACGUUGACGAAUUGGUUGCUGAAGCAGGAACAAGCCGGAGUGAUUGACGCAGAAUUGACUAUUGUGCUUUCGAGCAUUUCGAUGGCGUGUAAGCAAAUCGCAUCGCUGGUGCAGAGGGCGAGUAUUUCCAACUUGACCGGAGUUCAGGGAGCCGUCAAUGUUCAGGGAGAGGACCAGAAAAAGCUCGAUGUCGUCUCCAACGAGGUUCGUUAGUUUAGUUCCUGCUUAUCUACAACAAUAACUAGAAAUAUAAAAUUGUUACUUCUUUUACAAAAAUUGAAUAAUAUGUAAUUUUCUGUAGAAUUUUAAAUUUUGCUAUAUAUUCUUUUGUAUUUUGUUAUAUUUGUAAACGAACAUCUAAUUUAUAUGUUUAUAUAACUCCUCAUUAUCCUUUAUAUAUAUUAGUAACUAUAGGAGAAAAUCUAAAGGAAGUAGGAUUUACUUCUUUAGGUGUAAGAAAAAUGACAUGAAAUUUUAAAUUCUAGAUUAUAAAAAGUUGUGAUAUAAGACCUUAAAUUUGCAAAAACUAACCAUCUUAUUUUUAUCAUUUAGUUGAGAAAUAUUAACUACAUGAAGACAUAAUGGAACCUCUAAGUUGAUGUAGUUGAAAAAGGACCAAUUUAUUAAAAAUAUUAAUUAUAUUAGUUGAUGAAUUGAUAUUGAUACGUAUUUCAUUUAAUAUCUUUUGAAAUGUUUUGCAUAAAAUGGUCUCUUAAAUUCAACCAUGACAUAGACUUGUAAAUUAUAAAAAUUACUCUUGAAAAUUUUCAUUUACUUUAAAAAUGUCUUAAUGUUUUCAAAAUUUGCAAUAUUACUUUUAACUUUUAUAAACAUCUCAAAAAUGUCUUCGAGGUAGAAAUUCUUUAGAGUUUGAAGUGUAAUUGAGAUUUGUAUUGGUUUAGUAGGUGAUGUAGGAAGAAGAUUUGAAAUGGUAGAGUAAGUGAUAAAGGACGAAAAUUUGAAUCACCGCGUGGUUUUAAGUUAUCACACACUCUAAGUCCUAAGUCGCAGUUGAGGUUGAACAUUCUAAACAAUUUAUGAAAUGUUUAUAAAAAUUAAAGAGUGAUGUUGGGGAGGAAUUAUGAAAAGAAAUGUAAUAUAAAUUGAAUUUAGAAGUUCUAAUAAAAACAAGAGUCAUACAUUGCCAUAGGUGUUUUCCAAUUGCUUGAGAUCAAGCGGGCGAACAGGGAUUAUAGCAUCGGAGGAAGAAGACGUGCCAGUGGCCGUAGAAGAGAGCUACUCCGGCAACUACAUCGUCGUUUUCGACCCCCUCGAUGGCUCCUCCAACAUCGACGCCGCCGUCUCCACCGGUUCCAUCUUUGGCAUCUACAGCCCAAACGAUGAGUGCUUGGCCGACAUCGGCGACGAUUCCACUGUAAGCCAAUCCUCAUUCUCUUUCCCACAACUUCCCCUCCCAAAAGAAUGAGCCAUCACAACAUGUCCUUUAACUGUUUGAUAAAUUGCCGAAGAGCAGCUAGGCACAACAGAACAAAGAUGCGUUGUGAAUGUGUGCCAACCAGGAAGCAACCUUCUCGCCGCCGGCUAUUGCAUGUACUCAAGCUCCAUAAUCUUCGUGCUCACCAUAGGACAAGGCGUUUUUGCGUUUACAUUAGACCCAAUGUAUGGAGAAUUUGUACUAACACAAGAGGACAUCAAAAUUCCCAAGGCUGGGAAGAUUUAUGCCUUUAAUGAAGGGAAUUAUCAAUUGUGGGAUGACAAGUUGAAAAAGUACAUUGAUGAUUUGAAGGAUCCAGGCCCGAGUGGGAAGCCAUAUUCUGCUAGAUAUAUUGGUAGUUUGGUGGGUGAUUUCCAUAGAACCUUACUUUAUGGUGGAAUUUAUGGUUACCCCAGAGAUAAGAAGAGCAAGAAUGGGAAACUGAGGCUCUUGUACGAGUGUGCACCGAUGAGUUUCAUAGUGGAACAAGCUGGAGGCAAAGGCUCAGAUGGCCAUCAAAGAAUUCUUGACAUACAGCCAACAGAGGUUAGUUUGUCUAAUCCAUUGCUUGUAUUAUUUUUGUUUUUUUUGGUCUAAUAGUGAGAUUUAACAGAGAGUUAAAUGGGAAUUGUGAUCUAGGUUUGAUUCGAGUUUUUUAUUUUCUUUUGCUUUUGUGUUGUUUGAAUAGAUCCAUCAACGUGUGCCUCUGUAUAUUGGAAGUGUGGAAGAAGUGGAGAAAGUGGAGAAGUAUUUAGCUUGACUGAUAAAUGUGGGAAGAUAAGGUAAUGGGAUUUUGGUUGGUUGGGGAUGAAGAAAAAAGGUAUAUCAGUUGUAUUCUAUUCUUGUAAAGCUUACUUCAAUGCUGAAUAAAAAAAUUGAGGUUUUGUGUAGUUUAUAUUUGCUUCCGUAUCAACUAUUGCCUAUUUCAUAUUUUGUAAAGUUUUUGUGUUUGAGAAUAGAAGGGGAUUAAAUCAUUGUUUCUUCGAUAAAACAGCAAAUUAAAGAAAAACAAAUUAAGUUCAUGAAAAUACAGUCAUUAUCAAUUGUAUACGACGGUUGUGGAAAUUAUUAUAAUAUUACCAAUCAAAAGAGGAACAUGCUUUUUAAUAUAACUAAUUUCAAUAUCUUACUUUUACGAUAAAGUAUGGUACUCACUAGCAAAAUCCUAAUUUUUUUUUUUUAUAUUAAUGCCAUAUGUAGGAAGUAUAGAAGUGAUCAUGAAAUAAGAAUAUUGUUCAUUGUCUUGCCAUGCUCGGAUGCUACUAGCAAAUUAUGUUAUACUAACGCUAACGAUGAAACAUCUUGAAUCUAUAAUAUGGUUAUAGUCAUGAACAUAAUCAAAACAAAAUCUGUUUUUAUGUUUUCUAUUUAUAUUUAAUGGUCAGUUUCACAACAACUAAACUUAACAAUUACAAAAUUGAAACCAACAUGAUAAUCAUUCAAUUGACAUAAUAUUUGUAUUAUAAUCUUAAAAGAUUCGCCUUUUCCAAAUGUAAACCUUAAACCCAAACUUUAAUUAUAUAACAAUUAAUCACUUUUUAAAAUUUAAUGACAAAAAAAACAUAAUUAAAUUGGUUAGAAAAAAUUGUAAGAGUUUCUUUAAAACAUAAUUCUUUAAAAAAAAUUAGUUUGAAAGAUAAAAAUACACAAGUACUUCAUCUAGGGUGCAUCUUACAAUCGUGAGAAUUGAGAACCCAUCUAUAUUUCGUACGUACUGCAGCCAUGGAAGCGCGAACUGUGUUGUUCAACCAAUCAGAAUCACACAAUUGUUUCACAAAGAGAUAAGCCACAACCACAAACACACAAACAGAAGAGAGGGAGUAAGGAGAGAGAGAGAGAGAGAGAGAGAGAGAAUGGUUCGUACGAUUUCAUCUUCGCCUCAACAAACUCUCUUCUCCACCUCUCUUUUCUCCAGCUCCGGUGGUUUCCCCUCUUCCAAUUUCUCCAUCCGCCGCCCUUACAGUUUCUCCGGCACCUCGGCAGCCAAGUUCCCGAUCAGAGCUGUGAGCUUGGGGACGACCGAACCGGAAAUCCGAUCGAAGAACCCGAUCCGAUCCGGAUUCGAUGUGGAAAACUUAACCACGUGGCUACUGAAGCAAGAACAAUCGGGACAAAUCGACGCGGAACUAACCAUCGUCCUCUCCAGUAUCUCUCUGGCCUGCAAACAGAUUGCUUCGUUGCUGCAAAGAUCCAGCAUUAUCAACCUCACCGGCGCCCAUGGUACCAUGAAUGUUCAAGGUGAAGAUCAGAAGAAACUCGACGUCAUUUCAAAUGAGGUGAUUAAUUAGAGUACGAAAUGAAAUUUAAAUUUAAAUUUUAUUAUUGAUUAAAAUAAUAAAAUUUAGUUAUUUAUAACUAUUUCAAAUUAUUUUAAUUUGAGAUUAAUAAUAAAUACGAACAGAAAGUGUUUGCUUACAAUUUCAAUCAUAUCUUACGACUAAAUAUUUAAAUUCUGAAACAAAAACUAUUUAAAGAAAUUAUCAAAAUUUUACAAUAUGUUCGUUUUGAAAAUGCGCAUUCUUAGUCAAAUUCAUCAACUACUUUUUUGAGAACGUUGUUUUUGUAAUUAUCAAAUGUUGAGUUGGUUUUUGAAAACAUGAAUAAAAAGAAGUAGAUAUCAAACAAGAAAAGCAGAGAUGAAAAAGGUGUUUCUAGAUUUAAUUUUAAAAAAGUAAAUAAGGCCUAAAUGGUUAUGGAAAAAUGUUUCAGUUGUUUUGCAGCUGCCUGAGAUCGAGUGGAAGAACAGGGAUCAUAGCUUCAGAGGAAGAAGAUGUGCCAGUAGCAGUGGAAGAAACAUACUCUGGAAACUAUGUGGUUGUGUUUGAUCCCAUUGAUGGCUCUGCUAAUAUUGACACUGCAUUGACCACUGGUUCCAUUUUUGGGAUUUAUGCACCUGAUAAGCAAUGUCUCUUUGACAUUGAUGAUGACUCUGUGGUAACUUUUCUUCUUCCCCAUAUCUCUUCUAUCAAUCAUCUCCCGUUUUUAAACCCUCUCUGCUUCUCAGGUUCAAUCUUAUUGUUAACGUACUAAUUAUCUCGAAAGUUUAAGUUGAUGGAUCAACAAACAUAGAACGUAUUGCUUAUAUAAGAGAUGGUUGUUUUAUGUAGCACAUAGAGAAUUAACAAAUUAUUAGUUGAAUAAAUAAUAGAAAUAUGAUUGUUGAUCUUCUACAUUACUACAGCUUAAUCAAGAAGAACAAAAAUGCAUCAUGAAUGUAUGUCAACCUGGAAACAAUCUGUUAGCAGCUGGUUACUGUCUCUAUUCAAGCUCAGUUGUCUUCACAAUCUCUAUUGGAAAAGGAGUUUUUGCCUUCACUUUGGACCCUACCUAUGGAGAAUUUGUGUUAACUCAUCCCAACAUCAAAAUCCCAACCUUGGGUAAGAUCUAUUCUUUCAAUGAAGGGAACUACGAUCUUUGGGACGACAAGUUGCAGAAGUACAUCGAUCAUCUCCGACAACCGACGUCCUCAGGCAAGUCUUACUCCGGACGCUACAUCGGUUGUUUGGUAGGGGAAAUUCAUAGAAUGUUGCUUGUUGGAGGGAUAUAUGGAAACCCUGCAAAUGUUAACAAUAAAAAUGGGAACCUUAGAUUGUUGUACGAGUGUGCGCCAAUGAGCUAUCUGGUCGAACAAGCGGGUGGGAAGGCAAUAGAUGGUCAGAGGAGAAUACUCGACAUCGAACCGACCAAGGUAAUGUGACUAUUUAUGGUACGAAUAAUGUGUGUGUGUGUGUAUAACUAUAUAUAUAGUUUGUUGAUGUGAUGCUAUUGGGCAGAUUCAUCAGCGCUCACCAAUAUUCAUUGGAAGUUCAGAGGAAGUGGAGAAAUUGCAGAAGUUUUUGGCUUGAUUCUUUUGUAUUUCUCAAAUGGUUUCUCUCUCUCUAGAAAUCUGAUCUCUUUUAAUUUCCUCAUGCUAGGUGAUCUAAGAUUAUUAUUGCAUUAUGAAGAUGAAUUUUUCUCAAAUUCCAAUAUUUGUAUACAUCAAUGAAAUGGUAGAAAUUGUUGUACAUCAUCUCUUAUUUAACUUAGAUAUUUGUUGUAAUUCUUUUUAGAAAAAGAAAAUGAGACUUGCAAAUCUACCUUUCUUUUUAUUAUUUUUAUUAAAAACGUAGCCUCAUCUUUUUUUUGUUUGUGAAAUACUCUAAAGGUUGACUAUGCGUAUAUGAAAAAGAGUAACUGAAUCUCUAAUCUCAAAGUUGAUAAUAUGUUAUUUUGAUAAUAUAAACCUUGCUAAUUGAUGUUAUUUUGAAAAGGAAAAAAAUAUUACUUUUACACAAGUAAUUAAUUAAGUCUCUCUACUUUUAACUUUGUAACAAUUUAGUCUCUAAACUUUGUUUCGUACAUUAUAAUUUUGUAUUGAUUUAUUCCGUAACAUAGAAAUUAGUGUUAAAAUUUAAUGAAUAUUUUUGAAUUAAUAAACUAAUUAAAGACUUGAUAUCAUUCUAAAAUACAAAGUCAAUACUAUUAAAAAUGGUUAUAAAAUUAAAAGUAAAAGAACUCAAUUACUACUAAUGUUUAGGACUAAAUAUGUUGUGUAAAGUUACUAAAUUGUGGCUUCCAAAUGGGCUCAAACUAUCCAGCCCGGCCCAAGAAAAUGUAUCACUGAUUCUCAAUGCUGACAAAUCGGCUCGCAACCCAAAUUAUCUUCUUCCUCAACCAAUCCGACAAAUGGGAGUUUCAAUAACGACCUCUCAUUGGCGUUUAUCGUCACCGGCGACUCCACACCCGACCCAAUAAUCGGAAACUUGUUUCCGUAAUCAAAAUGGCCUGUGGGCUUCUGGUUUGGAGCUCAGUUUCCCUUUGCUCUACCUCUUUCCCUGCACUUUCCUUCUCUCUCUCUUCUUCCAGACGUACCCAAUUAUCAGUCUCCGCCUCCGUCGAAACCCCCGCCGCCGCCGCUGACGAUGCUCAGCAGCUGUCGGUGAGGGAGCGGAGGAAGCUGAGGAACGAGAGAAGAGAGAUCAAAACCACCACCAAUUGGAGGGAAGAAGUAGAGGAGAGGCUCUGCAGGAAGCCCAAGAAGGAAUUUGCCAAUUGGACUGAGAAGCUCAAUCUUGAUUACCUCGCUAAAUUGGGUCCUCAAUGGUGGGUUAUGCGUGUUGCUCGUGUUCGAAGCCAAGAAAUUGUCGAACGCCUUGCUCGUUGUCUUGCUAGGAACUACCCUGACCUCGAUUUUAAGGUGCAAUUUCUUCAUUCCACUGUUUGGAUUUUGGGUUUGUGGCACAAAUUGUAUGGAUUUUUUUGUGUUGGUUUUGAAAUUCAUUAACAGAAUCCAAUAUAUGAAAAUCUACUGAGUUUCAUUGUUUGAGAACUUGAGGGAAUGCUUAAAUGUUUCUGUAAACAUAAAUGUAUAUGUAUAUUUCAUUAGCUUGAUUAUCUUGCAAUGUAGUACUUAGAUUGGAGAAUAAAGGAUUUGAAACAACAGCUAAAAGAUUAAAUAAUGCGGUCGUUUUUUUUCAAUUUUACAUAAGAUGCCAAAGAAACAAAGGUUUUCUAAAAAGGAAUGAAGAAAUGGGAUUUAUUUUUUUAGUUGCUACAAACAGUAGAGACGAUAAUGUGUAUCAACGUCUCAAGUUCUUCAGUUGAUUGCAGAUAUAUUACCCGUCGGUUAAGGAGAAGAGGAAAUUAAAGAAUGGUACUUACACCGUUACACCAAAAGCUGUUUUUCCUGGAUCUGUAUUUAUAAGGUGUGUCAUGAACAAGGAGAUUCAUGACUUCAUUAGAGAGUGUGAUGGAGUUGGAGGCUUUGUUGGUGCCAAGGUCGGAAACACGUGAGUCUUUAUUUUGUUUUCUUCUUUGUAAAAUCAGUUGAGCAACUAUUUGUUCUCUGGGAACACUCUACUUGAAAUUACUUGAGACUCCUGACAGGAAAUGAGAGAACUGCAUUGGUCCUUUGGGAUUAUGUAAUUUGUAUUUCUUGUAGUCUAUAGAUUCUGGAGUCUAGGAGGUUAUGGCACAGAACUGAUUCAUAACUUGAUCUGGAUUUCAAAACUAGGAAUAAUUUUAGAUUCAAAAUUCAGAUUUUCAUACUACGAUCGACAGUAACUUUCAUCUGAAAUUUUAGAUAUAGAAGCUGUAUAUUUCUCUAUGUCAAUUAUGUGUUCUCAGUCAGUCUGUUGUUCUGAUAUAGUUUUGGCAAUAUACAGUAAACGACAGAUAAACAAACCAAAGCCAGUAUCCGAAGCUGACAUGGAAGCAAUUUUCAAAGAGGCAAAGGAUGAGCAAGAAAGACACGACCAGGCUUUCCUAGAGAAAGAGCAAGAGGAAGCUCCAAAUACUAGCGCACUCAAAACUGACUUAGAUACAAAUGGUACUACUGCUACGAAGCACAAAGGAAGACCCAAAAAAGCUGUUAAUACUUUGUCGCCAGGGUCAACAGUUCGAGUGGCAUCAGGUACUUUUGCAGAAUUUGAAGGCUCUCUUAAGAAGCUGAACCGUAAAAGUGGAAAGGUAUGUUGUUUUCUUUUAGAUGAAGAGUUUGCUACAAAGAGAAUAAUUAGAAGAAAGUUGUGUCCUAAUUGAUUGAUUUCCUUCAUGCAGGUAACUGUGGGAUUUACACUAUUUGGGAAGGAAACCCUUGUAGAUCUUGACAUUGGUGAUAUUAUAGUAGAGACAAAAUGAAUGAAUUUACUUUCUCAGUCAUGGUAAGUAAAGCAAUCACAAGACCCAUUUAUUUGAGGUUUCUUUCUUCCACUUUGAUGCAAAAUGUUAUAAUCAGUCAAAACCCACAUCUAUUCCAUUAAGUUCAAGUGGAAAACAGAAAAGCCAUACAAACCAUUGGUCUUAGUCAAUACUUAAUCAUCACAAGAACUUGCUAGGAUCUUGUUUUGGUUUUUCAAAUCAUUCAAAGCACUGUUGAAAUCGUCAAUAAUAGGCCUUUAUUUGUGAUGAAUCUUUUCCAAAUCACAAUAGAUUCAGACUUAGUAUCAUGUCUUCAAGAUUUUGACAUUGUUUGAGAUAGAAGUAAAAGAUGUCAUUGUUUCGUUAUGAAGUAACGCUUCUAGUCAACCCUUCCUACUCAAUCUUUGUACGAGUUGUAGAUUUAAAGAAAAGGAAGAUUUUUCCAAGAAUAUUGUUUCAAGAUUUGAGUUGUUUUUAUUCCUUUAGAAAAUGCUAAUCAGAGCGCCUUUGAUAGCUGAGCACUCUUCACUUUACUCUGUCACUGUUUUGCAGUAAAGUGUGGACGAAACUCAUGGAGUUGGAGAAUAAGCAAGCAGCUCCAGCUCUCAGCUCUCAAAGCAUAUUCAUGAACCAAAGAACAUAAAAGUACUGUUGCUUGAAUUGACAGACAGCCCACGUUGAUGAACAUGUCCACAAAUCAGCUUUGCUUCUUUGAAAUUACUCUGCAUUCGGAGAUUCUUACUGGAAAUCAAAUAGGAUCUUGAAGGAAUUGGCAGCCAAAUGUAUUCUUGUUAGACUUUUGAGAAAAUUAAACUAGGAAAUAUCAUGAUGAAAUCAUACCUGAGUAGCUCUUGUAAAUUCAAAUAUCUUUGAAGUCACAAAUUCACCAUAAUUAUAGAGGUGUUCAAGAUCCGAUUCGAUCUACCCGUCAAACCGGACCAAACUAAAAAGUUUGAUUUUGGAUGUAUACCAAGCCAAACCAACUUGUUUGUUUGCUCCAAACCAAAGUGAACUAAAUAUCUGGUUCAAUUAUAAUACAUAUAUGUAUAUAAAUAUGACUUAUUUUGUUAUUUUGUUUUAACUUUUAACUAAUAUAAACGGUUUGAUUCACUUUUUUUUUUUUUUAAUUUUAACCAAUUUAAACAGUUGAAUUCUGUUCAGUUUUCACAUCCUAAUUCAAAACUAAACCAAAAUGUUGUUUCAGUAAAAAUUAUAUUUUUGGUGAUGUAAGAUCCUGUUAUUAAGUUGAACUUUGUCAGUUUUAAUGAACACCCCUACAUGAUUGCCUUAAUGGAGGAAAAUAUUGUAUAAAGUAGGUAUGUUCUAAAUUAUUUCCAAAACUGUGUUGAUAGCAUACUAAUGUUUGAAACUUUGAUUGGUCCUCUAUUCAAUUUGUACCUGCAAAUACUCAUUAACUUCUCCAAAACUUCAAUAAAAUGUAGAGUUUGGAUAGAAUCUGUGGCCUUCCAUGGUCCCAUCAUUUAGUUCAAACCUCCAUUGUUUAAAAAUGGUAAGAACAUAAAAGAAAAAUGUUGAUAAACAAUAGGGAUAUGAGGUGCCCAAUGGAUUACAAUUCACAUGGGCUGAUGUCCCUUUUGCCUCAAAAUCUUAAUUUAAUGUAAACAUGUGGGUGUUGUUGUUAAGUCACUACCUCUCUUGCUUUGCCCCCACAUUACAACCUUCACCCUUCUAUCCAACAUUUUUUUUAUAAUAACUUCCUCUAUUUGAUGCUUCCAUGGAAUCUGAGAGUUAUAAAAUGAAGUGAUAAGAAAGUAUGAGAAGUAGGGGGGUGUGGUUUUAUUAUAGGACAACUCACUCAUUUUAUUAUGGGACAACUCUUAAUGUUGGUAUCAAUCUAUGAUGUGCCCUCCACACAUCUAUUAUACGAGUAGACCCCAUGAAAUAGUUGUCUUAUUUCCAACCUAUGUUUUGUUUCAUUUUUAUAUCAAUCACAAGAAAUCUUUUUUAGUUACUUUAGUUCUUUUUUUAAAAAAAAAUGUAAUCAAUUCAACAAACAGGGGACCAUACUUCCAUUUCCAUUUCUUUGUCUUAAAUUCAAACACUUGUUAGAUAGUCGUAAAUAUAAUAAUUAGAUUUAAAAUUUCAGUAUAUGUAGCAACAUUUUAAACAAAUUGCAAAUAUAUCAAAAUUUGUCAAAGUCUAUCACUAAUAGAUCGUGUCGAAAAUAUUGGUUUAUUAUUGAUAAACUAUAAGAGUCUAUAAGCAAUGAAAAUCUAUCAAUGUUAUAUUUGCAAUUUUAUUAAAAUAUUGUUAUACACUUGAUAAUAAUUGAGUGUAUUACCCCGAAAAUGUGUUAAUAUAGAGUUUGUACCCUUAAGUUGUUUUAUUAACGUAUUUAAAUAUUAGAUUCAACGAGAAGAAAUGGAUUUAUGCUUGAAAGUGAGGCCAAUUAUGUUGAUAUGAGUUAGAUUUCACGUGCCAAGUAGCACCUAAAUGAUAUGUGUUCAAGUGCCUUAAAAGUUGACGAGGUAAGAGUGUUAGAAAUAAUCUCGUUAGUUUUCAAAUUUUUAGGUAAGCUAACCUAAAUUUAGAAGUAUAAAAUGUGUAAUUCCAUUCCCAUGAGUUUCAUAUUUCCUAUGCAAAUAUUUGAAAUCUUACAAAAAAAAAAAUUCCAAACAAAAACUAUUACUUUUAGUUUUGAUUUUUACUUAAUUAUAUGCAAAUAAAAUAUAAAUUAAUUGACAAUAAAUUACUAAAGAAAACUUAAAUAGUUAAUAAAUGAGACCUAACAAUCAAAUUUGGUAUGAAAUUGAAAUAUUUAUAAAAGAAGAGGGAAUGUUUGAUAUAUUUUUUUUCUCGUCUCCUAUUCAUCUCUAUUAGUCUCAACAUUUGUAAAUAAAGAUUAUUAGAUGUUUUAGUUAUUUUAAUUAAAAAAGAAUACUUAUUUCAAUUGGAGAAAAAAAAAUAGUAAAGGUAAGAUAUGUAUAUAUUGAUUGUUUCAAUUAAUUUUUAUUGGACAAUAAAAGUGAGAAAACUUUAAUCGUCAUGAUUACGGAAACUCUUGCAUGUCAACUGAGUUAUGUUCACUCUAACAUUUUAGUCCAUUGUUACCUUUAGCCAAAGUACUAUCAUGGAUAUGUAGGAAGUUGUUUCAACUAUUUGAUAAUUGUUGUCCAUUUACAUAUAUAUUGGGAUCCACUACCAUGAAUCCUAUGGAGAGGACAUAUUCAAUUAUAUGCAAAGCAUUGAUUGAAGGCCACACAAACCUCCUAACCAAACCAAUAAACAUGAUCGAUCAAAGUCAGUUUUUCGACAAAAUCGACUAUUGAUCAUAGUUAAUUUAGUAAAUGUACAAAUGAUCUCGGCAUCGAUGAGUAAUGAUUGGUCGGGUUAGUUUCACUUAAAAAUACUUUUUGAAAAUUCUUGAUUUAAAACUUUCCGAAAUCGAUCUUGAUCGACCGGCUCGGUUUUUGGUCCAUCAUGCUCACCCAUACCCAUAAAUAAAUAAAAGAGGUAUUUUCCUUCUUUUAAGAAUAACAAUAAAAACAAAAUAAAACAUUUGUCAAAAACUUACCAUCCAUGCAAAAUUACUACACACAAUCUUACAAUGAAAGUAUAAGUAUUUUGUAAAAUUAUCGUCGAUCGUUAUCAUCUUUGUAAUUUUUUGUCUAACAAUAUAAAAAACUAGUAUUUUAGAGAUCAUCGUGGGUCACAAUUUUUUAACCAGUUACAAUAAACUAUUAUAAUUAAUUAAUCAAUAUUUAGAUAUCGAGGUAUAAUAGUUUAUGUUUUUAAUAAUAUAAUACAAAGUUGUUUUAAAUCUUCCUUCUCGUUUCUUUUUUAUUUGAACUAAAAUAGAUCAAACAUGAAUUAUUAUAACUCAUAAUAAAAUAGUUUGUGCUAAAAAAUAGUUCAUCAUCACUCACAUAUUAUAAUAAUGAUUGUCUAUAAUAAUCAAUUCAACGUGGCUAUUUUAAUCCACUUACUUGUAAAACUUAAAAAUUAAAAUUUGUCAUUCUAAAUUUAAAUUUUAUCAAAAAUAAAUAAACAUAACAACAAUGUAUAAUCGAAACUUUAUUACAAAAAGUACUAAUAAAUAAUUUUAGAAAACACUAAAACUAUAAUAGAAAAUAAAUUUAAGGUUUAUGGAAAAAAAAAGGCAAAAACUAAAAUUAAACAAAGCAUAAAAAUUAAAAUUAAACAACUCUACAAUACAUGAACCUAAAUGAUAUUUUAAACAUAAAUAAAUUUCAUGUUAAUCUCUUAAAUUCUAAUAAACACUUAUCUCAAUGUGUUCAAUAUGACUACAAAAAUGUGAAGAUUUAGUGUUAGGACUUUAUAAACAAUCCUCCAAAACCAAAUUUGUAAUUUGGCUUAAUUUCUAUCUUAACCAUACUUAAAAUAGUUUGGGCAAGUUCAAAAUUUGGGUAGACUUAAAUAAUUUAUUGAUAGUAACUUACAAACACAUAAAAAGAAAUUAUAGGUAUCCAAAUAUGAUUUACGGUGAUAUUGUAUAAAGAAUAUACCAUCUUCCAAGUUCACAAGCUAAUGGGACCAUGUGUGAUAUGAUCUUUUAAAAGAGAUUGCUUUUGAAAAAGCAGGAAAAAGAAGGUCUAAAAGUAUUCUACUUUUUCUUUUUUAUUACACCCAUUUGGAUCCAGAAAAUUUAAGCUUCUAAUUCUAUAUUCAACAAGGUAUGAAUUUAAUUGUGCUCAUUUUAGAAAAACAGUAUUAUUAUAUAGUUUGGUAUCUAUGAUUUGAAUCCAGAUUUUAUUUGUUGAUUCCUGUUGUUUUGGAAUUUUUUUGAAUUGAGGCUAAUGUCAAAUUUAUUUUCUAUGGUUUAAAAAGUUUUGAUUUAGUGUGAUAGCUUUUAAGUGGACCCCAGAAAGUAUAAAAACUUAGAUUGGAAAGAAAAAUCAACAAAAUUGAUAUCAAAUGGUCAACAAUGCCAUAGGAGACGAGGUAGGUGAACAAAAAUUAUAUGAUUUCUAAAGUUUUUAAGGAAAAUGAGGAGUGGAUAGACUAUAGAAAAAUAUAUUUUGUUUUUUUUAAUAUAAUAUAUAUAAAGAAUAAUUCUUUUUCACAAAAAAGAAAAAAAAAACAGAAAAACAAUUAGUUUUUCUUUGUUUAAUUCUUUGAGUAAGCAAAGCACACUAUCAUAUUUCAAAGCUUAUCACUUUAAUCUAGAAAAUAAUAAUUUAUAAUCUCAAUUAUGAUCAUAUUAUGGUCUCUUGUCUAUCAUAAAAUAUAAUGAACUAAUUGUGUUAAACAAAAUCAUUUAAAAUUGAAAAAUUGUCAAAAAUAGUAAAAGGGACAGUGUAUUGAAAAAUCCAGAAUUUUGACGUUGGCUUUUUUCAAGAAGAGUAAAUAUAUAUUUUUUUAUUUUCAUAAAAACUCUUCUAAAAAAUUGUAAUUUUGAAUAUAAAUGAGUAAAAAUGUAAUCCUAUCCAUAGUACAAAAGGCAGAACAAAGAAGAAAAAAGAAAGAGUAUUUUUUUUGGGGGGGAAAAAGAAAGAAGUGAGAAAAUGGCAUAAUGAGGAAAUAAUAGAGAGGAAAGGGAAUUUGAGGGAAGGAGUAGUAGUUUUGAAGGGCUUUGUUUGGUAAUUUGAUAAUGCAAGACGACAAUUGAAAAGCACGCGCACUGUCGUCCUUCAAAUUUUCUAUUGUGAAAAGACCGCACAUGCCCCUCCUCCUCCUCUAUUCCUGUGCAACGGUCCCCCAAUCCGACACGUCGUCCACUAUUUCACUUUUUUCCCCCUUUUCUUUCCUUCACCUUCCCCCAUUUUAUAUUUUCUUCCUACUUUUUGCCAUUAAAUCAUUCCUUCUUUUUCUAUUCAAAAUACCUUCUGUAUCUUACGAAACGUAUACAAAUAUUUAAAUUACCAUUUUCAUCUCUUUCUCUAUCUCUAUCUCUAUCUAUUAAAUGCAAAAAAGUAUUUAAAAUUUAUGUGAAACUGGAAUAGUUUAUUAUUCUAUACGACUAUUGUAUUUCUUUUAUUCACACUGUAGAUUUAUCUUCACCAUAGGAUGUUUUAUUAAAAAUAAUAUAAAAUUUACUAGUCUUUAUGAAAUAUACUUCUAAUUUAAAGAGGGGGAGAAUGAUAUUUAUAAUUACUUUUAGUGGUAUUAGAGCAUGGUACUAGAGCAAAUGGUGUAGGACGUUUUUGUGUUCAAACUUCUCCUAUUAUUAUUUUCUCUCCCGAUUAAUAUUAUUUUUCAAUUGUUAAGUCUUUUACAUAUUUGAAGUCGACAAGUGAGAAGGAAUUUUAAACUAAACAUUAUCUUAGGCUAUUAAUUACAAGAUUUUAAGAUGCUUGAUAAGGCAUAUCUUAGCAUAUUAACAAGAUUUUAAGAUACUUACUCAAGGUCACGGGUGUUGUUUUAAAAGUCUUCAAACAUAAAAGGUAAAACUAGAUAGGGAUGCUAAUUGGGUUGGAGAGUCAAAUCAUCAAAGAUUUACAUUUCACUUGGAGAAGCAAAAAAACAACCAAUUGUAGCUUAAAUAUUGUAGAGAUUGAACAUCGAGCUCUAGCUUUAGGAAUUUGUGAAGGGAUGUGGAUUUAAAAGCUUUUGGAAGAACUAAGGAUUGAAACUCAAAGUUCAUUCAAAACAUUUUAUGACAGUGAAAACAACCGUCAAUAUAACAGAAAAUCAUAUAAGUUGUGACAUAAUGAAAAACAUAUAGAGAUCAAUCAACAUUUCAUAUCUAAGAAGGUUAACAAAAACACAUUGAAAAAAAUUUAUGUUUUGUCUCACUGUCAAAUUGUCGGUAUUCAAAUUCAAGCAUGGAUUGUAUAAUGUAUACAAAUCGGCUUGAGUGAAAGUAUAGAUUUGCGUAUAUAUAGUCAUUUACAGUUUUUUUUUUAAAUUUAUUAAAUCCUUUCCUUUUAUAAUUAAAUUCCUUAGAUAGAGUUUUUUUUUUCAUAAUAAGAGAGAAAA
rnacentral:lncRNA from 1 species